rnacentral:rRNA from 1 species
UACGGAGGGUGCGAGCGUUGUCCGGAAUCACUGGGCGUAAAGGGCGCGUAGGCGGUGACUUAAGCGUGUGGUGAAAGCUCGGGGCUCAACCCCGAGUCGGCCGUGCGAACUGGGUCACUGGAGCAGAUCAGAGGCAGGCGGAAUUCCGGGUGUAGCGGUGGAAUGCGUAGAGAUCCGGAAGAACACCGGGUGGCGAAGGCGGCCUGCUGGGAUCUUGCUGACGCUGAGGCGCGACAGCGUGGGGAGCAAACAGG